AGUGAACGCUGGCGGUAGGCCUAACACAUGCAAGUCGAACGGCAGCACAGUAAGAGCUUGCUCUUACGGGUGGCGAGUGGCGGACGGGUGAGGAAUACAUCGGAAUCUACUUUUUCGUGGGGGAUAACGUAGGGAAACUUACGCUAAUACCGCAUACGACCUACGGGUGAAAGCAGGGGAUCUUCGGACCUUGCGCGAUUGAAUGAGCCGAUGUCGGAUUAGCUAGUUGGCGGGGUAAAGGCCCACCAAGGCGACGAUCCGUAGCUGGUCUGAGAGGAUGAUCAGCCACACUGGAACUGAGACACGGUCCAGACUCCUACGGGAGGCAGCAGUGGGGAAUAUUAGACAAUGGGCGGAAGCCUGGUCCAGCCAUACCGCGUGGGUGAAGAAAGCCUUCGGGUUGUAAAGCCCUUUUGUUGGGAAAGAAAAGCAGCAGGUUAAUACCCCGCUGUUCUGACGGUACCCAAAGAAUAAGCACCGGCUAACUUCGUG
rnacentral:rRNA from 1 species